rnacentral:lncRNA from 1 species
UGUUACAACACCACGGCACCUAAAAAAAAAUGCCACCACCUAAACAGAAAGGUCUAAACACUUAAAUCACCCCCAUAAAAAAAAGGGGAUGUCUCCACCAAUCGUAAAAGCCAAAAGCAAUAGGCUCAAUAUUUGAAGAAAGCCAGAGAAAAGAAUUUAACUUAACUUUUUCGACAAUAUGUAACGGAUCAAUAACCGUAUCAUUGAAAACACAGUUGUUUCG